CAUUAAUUAAUUUUAAUAAAAUGGGGCAGAUUCUGUGGGGAAAGUUACAGGGCAGGGGACGCCAUUGAUUAAUAAAGGAUAAUUAUUUAUUUAUGGUUUUGAAGUCAUUGUUUUAUUAAAAUUAAGAGUUGUGGGGCAGAAUCAGUGGGUCACAUUGAGGGGACAAAAUGGAGGGAAGGUGUGAGGGGACAAAAUGGAGGGAGGCUGUGGGGAGACAAAAUGGAGGGAAGAUGUGAGGGGACAAAAUGGAGGGAGGCCGUGGGGGGACAAAAUGGAGGGAAACUGAGGGGACAGGGAGAAGGGAAGCCAUGAGGGGAGAAAACGGAGGGAAGCUGUGAGGGGACAGGUAGAAGAGAAGCCAUGAGGGGACAAAAUGGAGGGAGGCCGUGGGGAGACAAAAUGGAGGGAAGAUGUGAGGGGACAAAAUGGAGGGAGGCCGUGGGGGGACAAAAUGGAGGGAAACUGAGGGGAGAAAAUGGAGGGAAGCUGUGAGGGGACAAAAUGGAGGGAAGCUGUGAGGGGAGGGAGUGGUAAGGCAACCAUGAGAAGACAAAGUGAAGGGAAGUCAUGAGGGACAAAAUGGCAGGAAAUUGUGAGGGGACACAGAGAAAANUGAGGUCACACCUGUCCCCAGGUGACCCCAAUGUCCCCAGGUGUCCCCAGGUGAGGUCACACCUGUCCCCACUGUCCCCAAUGUGUCCAGGUGACCCCAGGUGUCCCCAAUGUCCCCAGGUGUGUCCCCAAUGUCCCCCAAUGUCCCCCACUGUCCCCCAAUGUCCCCAGUGAUGUCCCCACUGUCCCCUCACCAUCAGCUCCUCGUUAAUGAUCAUUUUGCUGAUGACCCCGUGCACCGUAGGUGUGUCCCAGGUGUGUCACACCUGUCCCAGGUGUGUCCCCAAUGUCCCCAAUGUCCCCAGGUGUCCCAAGGUGUGUCCCCAGGUGUGUCACACCUGUCCCAGGUGUGUCCCCAAUGUCCCCCCAAUGUCCCCACUGUCCCCCCAAUGUCCCCAAUGUCCCCAGAUGUGUCACACCUGUCCCAGGUGUGUCCC
rnacentral:lncRNA from 1 species